rnacentral:rRNA from 1 species
CCUACGGGUGGCUGCAGUGAGGAAUAUUGGUCAAUGGAGGCAACUCUGAACCAGCCAAGUAGCGUGCAGGAUGACGGCCCUAUGGGUUGUAAACUGCUUUUAUGCGAGGAUAAACGCAGUUACGCGUGGCUUACUGCAAGUAUCGCACGAAUAAGGACCGGCUAAUUCCGUGCCAGCAGCCGCGGUAAUACGGAAGAUCCAAGCGUUAUCCGGAUUUAUUGGGUUUAAAGGGUGCGUAGGCGGCCCCAUAAGUUUGUGGUGAAAUCCCGGGGCUCAACCGCGGAAUUGCAGCGGAAACUGUGCGGCUUGAGAGUAGUUGCGGUAGGCGGAAUGUAUGGUGUAGCGGUGAAAUGCUUAGAGAUCAUACAGAACACCGAUUGCGAAGGCAGCUUACC